rnacentral:rRNA from 1 species
UUAUACAGCGAAACUGCGAAUGGCUCAUUAAAUCAGUUAUCGUUUAUUUGAUAGUACCUUACUACUUGGAUAACCGUGGUAAUUCUAGAGCUAAUACAUGCUAAAAACCCCGACUCACGAAGGGGUGUAUUUAUUAGAUUAAAAACCAAUGCCCUUCGGGGCUCUUUGGUGAUUCAUAAUAACUUUUCGAAUCGCAUGGCCUUGCGCCGGCGAUGGUUCAUUCAAAUUUCUGCCCUAUCAACUUUCGAUGGCAGGGUCUUGGCCUGCCAUGGUUACAACGGGUAACGGAGGGUUAGGGCUCGACCCCGGAGAAGGAGCCUGAGAAACGGCUACUACAUCCAAGGAAGGCAGCAGGCGCGCAAAUUACCCAAUCCCGAUUCGGGGAGGUAGUGACAAUAAAUACUGAUACAGGGCUCUUUUGGGUCUUGUAAUUGGAAUGAGUACAAUUUAAAUCCCUUAACGAGGAACAAUUGGAGGGCAAGUCUGGUGCCAGCAGCCGCGGUAAUUCCAGCUCCAAUAGCGUAUAUUAAAGUUGUUGCAGUUAAAAAGCUCGUAGUUGAACCUUGGGCCUGGCUGGCCGGUCCGCCUCACCGCGUGCACUGGUUCGGCCGGGCCUUUCCCUCUGGGGAACCUCAUGGUCUUCACUGAUCGUGAUGGGGAACCAGGACUUUUACUGUGAAAAAAUUAGAGUGUUCAAAGCAGGCCUAUGCUCGAAUACAUUAGCAUGGAAUAAUAAAAUAGGACGUGUGGUUCUAUUUUGUUGGUUUCUAGGACCGCCGUAAUGAUUAAUAGGGACAGUCGGGGGCAUCAGUAUUCAAUUGUCAGAGGUGAAAUUCUUGGAUUUAUUGAAGACUAACUACUGCGAAAGCAUUUGCCAAGGAUGUUUUCAUUAAUCAGGAACGAAAGUUAGGGGAUCGAAGACGAUCAGAUACCGUCGUAGUCUUAACCAUAAACUAUGCCGACUAGGGAUCGGACGGUGUUACUUAUUGACCCGUUCGGCACCUUACGAGAAAUCAAAGUCU